GGGAAUUCGAUUAGAGUUUGAUUCUGGCUCAGGACGAACACUGGCGGCGUGCUUACACAUGCAAGUGGAGGGAUGAAGCACCUUCGGGUGUGAAUUAGCGGCGAACGGGUGAGGAACACGUGAGAAAUCUGCCUUCAACUCUGGGAUAACUCCGUGAAAACGGGGCUAAUACCGGAUAUGAGAUCUACAGGCAUCUGUGGAUCUGGAAAGUUUUUCGGUUGAAGAUGAUCUCGCGGCCUAUCAGCUUGUUGGUGAGGUAAUGGCUCACCAAGGCGACGACGGGUAGCCGGCCUGAGAGGGCGACCGGCCACACUGGGACUGAGACACGGCCCAGACUCCUACGGGAGGCAGCAGUGGGGAAUAUUGGGCAAUGGAGGAAACUCUGACCCAGCGACGCCGCGUGCGGGAUGAAGGCCUUCGGGUUGUAAACCGCUUUCAGCAGGGAAGAAGCGAAAGUGACGGUACCUGCAGAAGAAGCACCGGCUAACUAUGUGCCAGCAGCCGCGGUAAUACAUAGGGUGCAAGCGUUGUCCGGAACUAUUGGGCGUAAAGAGCUCGUAGGUGGUUCGUCACGUCGGAUGUGAAACUCUGGGGCUUAACCCCAGACCUGCAUUCGAUACGGGCGAGCUUGAGUAUGGUAGGGGAGUCUGGAAUUCCUGGUGUAGCGGUGGAAUGCGCAGAUAUCAGGAGGAACACCAAUGGCGAAGGCAGGACUCUGGGCCAUUACUGACACUGAGGAGCGAAAGCGUGGGGAGCGAACAGGAUUAGAUACCCUGGUAGUCCACGCCGUAAACGGUGGGCACUAGUUGUGGGGACCUUCCACGGUCUCUGCGACGCAGCUAACGCAUUAAG
rnacentral:rRNA from 1 species